rnacentral:rRNA from 1 species
GACGAACGCUGGCGGCGUGCUUAACACAUGCCAGUCGAACGGAAAGGCCCUGCUUUUGUGGGGUGCUCUAGUGGCGAACGGGUGAGUAACACGUGAGUAACCGGCCCUUUACUUUGGGCUAACUUCAGGAAACUUGGGCUCAUACCGCAUAGGAGCUCCUUCUCCCUGGUGGGGGUUUGAACGUUUCGGCGGUUGGGGAUGAACUCGCGGAUUAUCAGCUUGUUGGUGGGUUGGUGGCUUACCAAAGCUUUGCCGCGUAGCCGGCCUGAGAGGGUCACCGGCCACACUAGUACUGAGCUACGGCCCAGACUCCUACGGGAGGCAGCAGUGGGGAAUAUUGCACAAUGGGCCGAAGCCUGAUGCAGCCACGCCGCGUGCGGAAUGACGGCCGUCGCGUUGUAAACCGCUUUCGCCUGUGACGAAGCGUGAGUGACGGUAAUGGGUAAAGAAGCACCGGCUAACUACGUG